GCGACAAGGGCUCGUCGGCAUAGCCAAGGAGACUGCCCGUCAAUCGUGAGAGGGUCCUACCCAAGAACGUACCAAAGUUCCAGAUAUAGAACCUCCUGCACGCCGUAGGCAAGUCAUCCUUGGCUACCGGACCAGCUCUUAUCU
rnacentral:pre_miRNA from 1 species